GCUCCUACGGGGGGCAGCAGUAGGGAAUCUUCCACAAUGGACGAAAGUCUGAUGGAGCAACGCCGCGUGAGUGAAGAAGGGUUUCGGCUCGUAAAGCUCUGUUGGUAGUGGAGAAAGAUAGAGGUAGUAACUGGCCUUUAUUUGGAGGUAAUUACUUAGAAAGUCACGGCUAAAUACGUGCCAGCAGCCGCGGUAAUACGGAGGUGGCAAGCGUUGUCCGGAUUUAUUGGGCGUAAAGCGAGUGGAGGCGGUGCAAGUAGAUUG
rnacentral:rRNA from 1 species